UUGCUACAAGAAUUAGUGAUGAAAGGAUGGCUCGAGAGCAUGAAGGACACACCUGUGAUCACACGAGCAGAUUGGGCCUACCGAGAUAAAUUGACAGCUCAAAAUGGCAUCUUGUACAAAGGAAAUAGAGUUGUCAUUCCUAAGGAGAUGAGAGGAGAGGUACUGAAGCACAUCCAUGCAAGCCAUCAAGGAACUGACUAAAAUCCGAGAAAGCUAUUUAAGGACACUCCCUAACAGCAGUUUCUUACCAACCAAUGAACUUAUGGUUUUCCUGUGAUGUCAUUGUUCGAUUCCUUAUCGAACUCAACUCCGAAGGUGGUGAAGGUCACAUGAUUGGAAGGUGCUUUGGCGGAGCCUUGAGUCCCUUGUUCUUCCCCAGAGUUGAUGACCCUGGUGGUGUCGGCACAGCAGAGGCACAACAGAGGAGGAUGUUCAGAAGGAAGGGGUAACAUGGAACGGGUGAGGGAAGUCCUUGGAAAAAAUGUUGAAAAUAAGUGGACUCCUGCUGCAGAAAUAAAUUCCAAGUAUGCUGGGUAUGCACAGCAAUAAUCCUGUGUGGUUCAUGAAGACUGAUACACAGUAUGUGCGCCCUGGAUGUGGUUACUGACAACCGGUCCUUCAGAGCUGGAAGUGUGAGAUUUUCUGAGAAACGUGAAGUCUCAGGACUAACUCGGGUACAUCAAGGCUAUACUGACAUACACAACUACAUCUAGUGACAAAUGUUUAAGGAAAUGAGAUGGAAUCAAGGGUUUCAAUUCUAAAGUGCUCUUGUGGUUAAAGGGGAGAUAAUUUGAACAUCUGGUUGAAGUGAAACUAUCUGCGGUGUAUUAAGUUUAAGCAUUGCACUAAUACUGUUGCUAAUCUUGAGUAAGGUUAUGAAAAGGGUGCUUGGUCUCGAGAACAAAUUGGAAAAAUUCCACUCAGCAACUCAAUAAGCAAGAGCUCUGUCCCAGUCAAGCUGAACUGAAAUAUAUAACUCAGAGACUGUCAAUAGCAGCACUAUGCUUCACUCCUCCUUUCUCCCCACACUUAUUUCCUGGUACCAUAGAUACAUUCAGGUGUUUUACAACAACAACUUAUAUUUAUAUAGAGUUUCUAAUGUAAUGCAACAUCCCAAGGCACUUCACUGGGACAUUAUAAAACAAAGUAUGACACCAAGCCACAUAAA